GUGUUGUGAAAUGUUGGGUUAAGUCCCGCAACGAGCGCAACCCUUAUCCUUUGUUGCCAGCGGUUAGGCCGGGAACUCAAAGGAGACUGCCAGUGAUAAACUGGAGGAAGGUGGGGAUGACGUCAAGUCAUCAUGGCCCUUACGACCAGGGCUACACACGUGCUACAAUGGCGCAUACAAAGAGAAGCGACCUCGCGAGAGCAAGCGGACCUCAUAAAGUGCGUCGUAGUCCGGAUUGGAGUCUGCAACUCGACUCCAUGAAGUCGGAAUCGCUAGUAAUCGUGGAUCAGAAUGCCACGGUGAAUACGUUCCCGGGCCUUGUACACACCGCCCGUCACACCAUGGGAGUGGGUUGCAAAAGAAGUAGGUAGCUUAACCUUCGGGAGGGCGCUUACCACUUUGUGAUUCAUGACUGGGGUGAAGUCGUAACAAGGUAACCGUAGGGGAACCUGCGGUUGGAUCACCUCCUUACCUUAAAGAAGC
rnacentral:rRNA from 1 species